CAGAACCUCUAAGUGCUCAGAAUCUUGAAGGAUCAAGCCAGAAAUUAUUUUGCCAUUGUGGUAAAAGUGGAAUGGUGUUAAGGAAGCAUGAAAUUAAUCUAAAUUAUUUCAACUCUUCUCUGUUGAAAACUGAAGGCAACAACAACUAGGGAGAGCGUGAACCAGUGCAACAUCCCAGGCAAGAUUCUGCUCUCAGCUGCACUGUGAGAGAAGAUGGAGGAGGGAUAAGUCUAUGCUGUAGAGCAGCAGUUCCCAAAACCAUGGGAUGUGUACCCCAAGAGUAUGCAAGCCAUCUCUGGCAGGUACGCAGGAGAAAUUGCGUAAAGGCAUAUAACUGAAGGCAGAAGAAAUCAAACUUACUUUGUUCUCCAAAUCAAAUUCUAAGCAAUGGUGACUGCCAAAAGCUGUGAGAGAAGUAAGACCAGAUCCUCUGCUGGUGUAAAUUGGAGCAGCUCCAGGAAGGACCUGUGUGGUCCUUGAACUUUUCUGCAUACUAUUUUUUGCAGUGCAAUUCACGAUAGCAUGUUGACUUAAUUCAACAACUCACUUACUUCUCAGUAGUGGCCAGACCCAGACCCCGUACGCACUGAAGUCAAUGGGAGGUUUGCAAGUGACUUCAAUGGCCCCACGAUCAGGCCCGAGAAGAUAAGGAUACAUAACGAACACUUUAGUUAUGGAAGUAAUACACUUUUCUACAAGUAGUGCAAAGAGUGCUGCACACUAACCCUGAUUUUAAAAAAUAGAACACUAAAGAAAAACUUGAUUCAAAACCACUAUAACUAGUUCUAUCCAGAACACCAGGGGAGAAGCUUGAUCAAAUCUAUUUCAUUCUGACUCAAAGGAUGAAGUUCAAUUCCAUCAAGCAACAGCAUUUGCUAAGAUAAAUAUGGUCAUUUACCUUAAUUUUAGAUGUGUUUAAUUAUGCAUCUGCAUUUUUGACAAUGUAGUAAAAUAUACAGUAGUUAUCAGGAUAGUUAUCUGAUUCAAUGCCCACUGAAUAUCACCUGAUUUAAUGAAUGCAAAGUAAGAGGUUUUAAUUCAAAUAAAAGCUAUAGAAUAUCCUUUUAUCACACAUGUUUGCUCUUUCUAGCAGUGCAAAUACUUAGUUCUAGAUUGGACUUCUCUGCUAAACAAUGGGCUCUGAGAGCUUUUGUGUGUGAAUGGUUUCUUAGGAAAACCACUGCAAACUGUUGAUGGUGUGUCUCCAUCACAUAUG